rnacentral:rRNA from 1 species
AUUGAACGCUGGCGGCAUGCUUUACACAUGCAAGUCGAGCGGCAGCGCGGGGGCAACCCUGGCGGCGAGCGGCGAACGGGUGAGUAAUGCAUCGGAACGUAUCCUGUAGUGGGGAAUAACUCACCGAAAGGUGAGCUAAUACCGCAUAAGCUCUGAGGAGGAAAGCGGGGGGACCGAAAGGCCUCGCGCUGCAGGAGCGGCCGAUGUCCGAUUAGCUAGUUGGUGAGGUAAAAGGCUCACCAAGGCGACGAUCGGUAGCUGGUCUGAGAGGAUGAUCAGCCACACUGGGACUGAGACACGGCCCAGACUCCUACGGGAGGCAGCAGUGGGGAAUUUUGGACAAUGGGGGAAACCCUGAUCCAGCCAUGCCGCGUGAGUGAAGAAGGCCU